rnacentral:rRNA from 1 species
GUAAGGAAUAUUGGACAAUGGACGCAAGUCUGAUCCAGCCAUGCCGCGUGAAGGAUUAAGGUCCUCUGGAUUGUAAACUUCUUUUAUAAGGGACGAAAAAAGGCUUUUCUAAGUCGUCUGACGGUACCUUAUGAAUAAGCACCGGCUAACUCCGUGCCAGCAGCCGCGGUAAUACGGAGGGUGCAAGCGUUAUCCGGAUUCACUGGGUUUAAAGGGUGCGUAGGCGGGCAGGUAAGUCAGUGGUGAAAUCCUAGAGCUUAACUCUAGAACUGCCAUUGAUACUAUCGGUCUUGAAUAUUGUGGAAGUAAGCGGAAUAUGUCAUGUAGCGGUGAAAUGCUUAGAUAUGACAUAGAACACCUAUUGCGAAGGCAGCUUACUACGCAUAUAUUGACGCUGAGGCACGAAAGCGUGGGGAUCAAACAGGAUUAGAAACCCGGGUAGUCC